rnacentral:rRNA from 1 species
GAUGAACGCUGGCGGCGUGCUUAACACAUGCAAGUCGAACGAAGCAUUUGCGACAGAUUUUUUCGGAAAGAAGUUGCUUAUGACUGAGUGGCGGACGGGUGAGUAACGCGUGGGUAACCUGCCUUGUACUGGGGGAUAGCAGCUGGAAACGGCUGGUAAUACCGCAUAAGCGCACAAUGUUGCAUGACAUGGUGUGAAAAACUCCGGUGGUAUAAGAUGGACCCGCGUCUGAUUAGCUAGUUGGUGAGAUAACAGCCCACCAAGGCGACGAUCAGUAGCCGAACUGAGAGGGUGACCGGCCACAUUGGGACUGAGACACGGCCCAGACUCCUACGGGAGGCAGCAGUGGGGAAUAUUGCACAAUGGAGGAAACUCUGAUGCAGCGACGCCGCGUGAGUGAAGAAGUAAUUCGUUAUGUAAAGCUCUAUCAGCAGGGAAGAUAGUGACGGUACCUGACUAAGAAGCUCCGGCUAAAUACGUG